rnacentral:lncRNA from 1 species
CCCGGGUCACAAAAAAGAAUUACGUUCUCUCUCUCACUCUUUCCUCUCUCUCAAAGCGACCUUUCCCUCCCCCUUUCAAAGCGAGCAGAAGACUCCCUUAGAAGACUCCCUCACUUGCGUUUCAACCAAUAGUCGAAGCUUCACAUUCAGAAGACUCCCUCUCGCAAACUCAAUUUUUCGAUUCUCUCUCCCCAUAUGAAAUUCGCAAUUCUCCGAACCCCUUUUCUCGAUUCUCUCGCGAAGCUAGGGUUUGCAUCAUAGAAGCAACAAAUCAUCCUACUGAUCCUGAAGCAGACGAAGGUAAAGAUUGCUACUUAAUUUUGUAAUUUUUGUUUUGGGGUUUGUUUUGCUACAAAGAUCUAGGGUUUGUUUUGGG